rnacentral:rRNA from 1 species
UACGUAGGGUGCGAGCGUUAAUCGGAAUUACUGGGCGUAAAGCGUGCGCAGGCGGCGCGUUAAGACAGGUGUGAAAGCCCCGAGCUUAACUUGGGAAUUGCGCUUGUGACUGGCGUGCUGGAGUGUGGCAGAGGGAGGUGGAAUUCCACGUGUAGCAGUGAAAUGCGUAGAGAUGUGGAGGAACACCGAUGGCGAAGGCAGCCUCCUGGGCCAGCACUGACGCUGAGGCGCGAAAGCUAGGGUAGCAAACGGG